GCUUAACACAUGCAAGUCGAACGCGAAAGUCUCUUCGGAGGCGAGUAGAGUGGCGCACGGGUGAGUAACACGUAGAUAACCUGCCCCUUAGUCUGGGACAACCUUCUGAAAAGAGGGCUAAUACCGGAUAAUACUUUUAGCCAUACGGUUUUAAGUUGAAAGAUUUAUUGCUGAGGGAUGGGUCUGCGCACCAUUAGCUUGUUGGUGAGGUAACGGCUCACCAAGGCGACGAUGGUUAGCGGGUCUGAGAGGAUGGUCCGCCACACUGGAACUGAGACACGGUCCAGACUCCUACGGGAGGCAGCAGUGGGGAAUUUUGCGCAAUGGGCUAAGGCCUGACGCAGCAAUACCGCGUGAGUGAAGAAGGCCCUUGGGUCGUAAAGCUCUUUUUUCAGGGAAGAUAAUGACGGUACCUGAAGAAUAAGCACCGGCUAACUCCGUGCCAGCAGCCGCGGUAAUACGGAGGGUGCGAGCGUUGUUCGGAUUUACUGGGCGUAAAGGGCACGCAGGCGGCAUAACAAGCUAAGGGUGAAAUCCCGGGGCUCAACUCCGGAACUGUUCUUAGAACUGUUAAGCUAGAGAUAGUUAGAGGCGGGUGGAAUUCCUGGUGUAGAGGUGAAAUUCGUAGAUAUCAGGAGGAACACCGGAGGCGAAGGCGACCCGCUGGAACUAUUCUGACGCUGAGGUGCGAAAGCGUGGGGAGCAAACGGGAUUAGAUACCCCGGUAGUCCACGCCGUAAACGAUGAAUACCAGCUGUUUGGGAAAUCGACCUCCCAAGUGGCGCAGCUAACGCGAUGAGUAUUCCGCCUGGGGAUUACGGUCGCAAGACUAAAACUCAAAGGAAUUGACGGGGGCCCGCACAAGCGGUGGAGCAUGUGGUUUAAUUCGACGCAACGCGAAGAACCUUACCUGGGUUUGACAUCCCCUGACCGCUGUGGAGACACAGUUUUCUCUUCGGAGACAGGGUGACAGGUGCUGCAUGGCUGUCGUCAGCUCGUGUCGUGAGAUGUUGGGUUAAGUCCCGCAACGAGCGCAACCCUUGUCCUUAGUUGCCAGCGGUUCGGCCGGGAACUCUAAGGAGACUGCCGGUGUUAAGCCGGAGGAAGGUGGGGAUGACGUCAAGUCCUCAUGGCCUUUAUAUCCAGGGCUACACACGUGCUACAAUGGCGGCUACAAAGAGUCGCGAAGCCGCGAGGUGGAGCUAAUCUCAAAAAAGCCGUCUCAGUUCGGAUUGCAGUCUGCAACUCGGCUGCAUGAAGUUGGAAUCGCUAGUAAUCGUAGAUCAGCGUGCUACGGUGAAUACGUUCCCGGGCCUUGUACACACCGCCCGUCACACCAUGGGAGUUGACAUUAGCAGAAUACAUUGAG
rnacentral:rRNA from 1 species